rnacentral:rRNA from 1 species
UGGGGAAUAUUGGACAAUGGAGGAAACUCUGAUCCAGCAAUUCUGUGUGUGUGAAGAAGGUUUUAGGACUGUAAAACACUUUUAGUAGGGAAGAAAAAAAUGACGGUACCUACAGAAGAAGCAACGGCUAAAUACGUGCCAGCAGCCGCGGUAAUACGUAUGUUGCGAGCGUUAUCCGGAAUUAUUGGGCUUAAAGGGCAUCUAGGCGGUAAGACAAGUUGAAGGUGAAAACCUGUGGCUCAACCAUAGGCUUGCCUACAAAACUGUUGAACUAGAGUACUGGAAAGGUGGGUGGAACUACACGAGUAGAGGUGAAAUUCGUAGAUAUGUGUAGGAAUGCCGAUGAUGAAGAUAACUCACUGGACUGAAACUGACGCUGAAGUGCGAAAGCUAGGGGAGCAAACAGG